GCCCCUGCUGGCUCAGAACGGACUAGACACCGCAGCUAUGAAGUCUUACACGCUCGUUGUACUCGUUGUGGCGGCGCUCAUUGGCUGCUCCAGUGCAAAAGAAUGCGGCACGAUCUGCCCUUCAGUUUACCAGCCUGUGAGAGCAAAGUGUGGCUCCGUCACCCGUCAGUUUGGAAACCGCUGCAAGAUGAACGUGUACAACUGCCAGCACAACGCCGGUUGUAAGGCGGUUUGAUAUGAUACCAAGAGCACUUUGAUGAUUCAUGAAGGAGCUGAAGAAAUGACAUGCCGAUACUGCCAGAGAUUUGAAGACUAGAUAUAAAAUAACUGUAAACACUGAAUAAAGAAGUGCCGUGCUAAAA